AUCAUCAGUAGUGGUUAAUACUAUCUCAAGAUAAUAUUAAUUACAAUUUAUUAUAGAAACCUAAAGUUUCUUUCGUUUGUGUUCUUCCGCCUGACGGCUGGGAACUGCAGAGCUCGUCUCUGCAGUUUUUCGUCGUUGGGCUAGUUAACACUGGAACUCUGAAUGAUUGAUUCAAAUACAAUAACCCAUAGCUGAAUGGAUUUUGACUACUUCCAAACAAGGUAGGCACAAUUUCCAUUUCGUUUCCGGUUUCUUAGAUCAUCAUCUGCUAUGACGGGGCAUCUCAAGCUUGCUUGGGGUGAGGUGUACGUUUCCAGAGAAUUGCAUAACGCGGUUUGAAAGUUUGGAUUCUACAGUAACUUCUCUUCAUGGUAGGACAUUU
rnacentral:snoRNA from 1 species